rnacentral:tRNA from 1 species
GGCAGAUGACCGAGCAGGUGAACGGGGUACGUUGAGAGCGUAUGGCUUUGCCAGGUGGGUUCGAGUCCCACAUCUGUCA